rnacentral:rRNA from 1 species
CAUGAUUGUGAUCGGCCAGACCACCCUGAGCACGCCCGAUCGAUUAGUACUUGGAUGGGACACCACCUGGGAAUACCAGGUGCUGUUAGGG